GAUGAACGCUAGCGGCAGGCCUAAUACAUGCAGGUCGAACGAGAUUGGAGGAGCUUGCUCUUCCAUGAAAGUGGCGCACGGGUGCGUAACGCGUAUGCAACCUACCUUCUUCAGGGGGAUAGCCUCUCGAAAGAGAGAUUAACACCGCAUAACAUUAUUGAGUGGCAUCAUUUAAUAAUCAAAUAUUUAUAUGAAGAAGAUGGGCAUGCGUGACAUUAGUUAGUUGGUGAGGUAACGGCUCACCAAGACUACGAUAGCUAGGGGAUCUGAGGGGAUGACCCACCACACUGAGACUGAGACACGGACCAGACUCCUACGGGAGGCAGCAGUAAGGAAUAUUGGUCAAUGGGGGCAACCCUGAACCAGCCAUGCCGCGUGCAGGAAGACGGCCCUACGGGUUGUAAACUGCUUUUAUACCGGAAUAAUUCCCAGUACGUGUACUGGGUUGAAUGUACGGUAAGAAUAAGGAUCGGCUAACUCCGUGCCAGCCGCCGCAGUAAAAC
rnacentral:rRNA from 1 species